GAUGAACGCUGGCGGCGUGCCUAAUACAUGCAAGUCGAGCGAACAGACGAGGAGCUUGCUCCUCUGACGUUAGCGGCGGACGGGUGAGUAACACGUGGAUAACCUACCUAUAAGACUGGGAUAACUUCGGGAAACCGGAGCUAAUACCGGAUAAUAUAUUGAACCGCAUGGUUCAAUAGUGAAAGACGGUUUUGCUGUCACUUAUAGAUGGAUCCGCGCCGCAUUAGCUAGUUGGUAAGGUAACGGCUUACCAAGGCAACCAUGCGUAGCCGACCUGAGAGGGUGAUCGGCCACACUGGAACUGAGACACGGUCCAGACUCCUACGGGAGGCAGCAGUAGGGAAUCUGCCGCAAUGGGCGAAAGCCUGACGGAGCAACGCCGCGUGAGUGACGAAGGUCUUCGGAUCGUAAAACUCUGUUAUUAGGGAAGAACAAAUGUGUAAGUAACUAUGCACGUCUUGACGGUAACUAAUCAGAAAGCCACGGCUAACUACGUG
rnacentral:rRNA from 1 species